rnacentral:rRNA from 1 species
AAUCAACGCUGGCGGCGUGCCUAACACAUGCAAGUCGAGCGAGAAAAGGGGAGCAAUCCCCUGAGUACAGCGGCGCACGGGUGAGUACCACGUGGGUAAUCUGCCCUGGAGUGGGGAAUAACACCGGGAAACCGGUGCUAAUACCGCAUACGAUCACAGAGUCUGCGGAUUUUGUGAUGAAAGGAGCAAUUCGCUCUAGGAGGAGCCCGCGGCUGAUUAGCUAGUUGGUGAGGUAAUGGCUCACCAAGGCAACGAACAGUAUCCGGUCUGAGAGGACGGGCGGACACACUGGAACUGAGACACGGUCCAGACUCCUACGGGAGGCAGCAGUGGGGAAUUUUUGGCAAUGGGGGCAACCCUGACCAAGCAACGCCGCGUGGGUGAUGAAGUCUCUUGGGACGUAAAACCCUUUCGACGGGGACGAAACCGCAAGGUUGACGGUACCCGUAGAAGAAGCCCCGGCUAACUCCGUGCCAGCCGCCGCGGUAA